rnacentral:lncRNA from 1 species
CAUCCCUCCAUUAGACCUACGUAUUCAAAGGUCAAUGAAAUAUUUAUUACUAAAUUGAGUCUUUCUCAUUCCCUGUCUCACCUGGCUUAUCCACAGUAUUUAAGUCCGAUCAUUACUCUGUCAGUACUUUUUCUAGACAGUUCCUUGGUGGCAGGAAUAUCAUUUCUUAUUCCUCUUCUAUCCCAAAGGCCUGGUAGAAUACCUGGUUCAUAGUCAGCCCUCAGUGAAAUGCAGCCUUGGAGACAUUAGAGUUGACACUCUUUCCCCUCACAAUGUGUAACAUUUUAAACUAAUUCUUGUGAGUUUACAUAAGUCUCCCUAUAUGAUCUUCAUCUCUUUUAUUCUACAUUAGCUCCUGGACCCUCCACUCACAACUAUGGCUUUAUCUUUAUGGUUACCAUGGGCAAUGAAAUCCAGAUUCAUAAUUUGCAUCCAUUUGCUGGAUAAAUUAAUCUGGCUAUUGUUUAACUUCCCACUUUCAGUCCACUGCCUAUAAAAUUCUUCACCAUCCUUUCCCUCCAUACCCCAAUGAGAUGCUUCUUUCUGAGUUGUCUAAUUCUCCUAUUGACAUUACAUUUUCUUGAUUACUUAUCCAUUAAAAUUCCAAGUGUUCUUGGCCUUCUCCUUUCUUCCUUUGCUGCACCGGCCCUCUUAGACAUCUGCCACAUCUAUGAAUUCUACUUUCAAGGUAUCUUGAGCAUCCGAUUUCUUCUUGACAUUUCUAUCCUAUUUAGUUAGGGUCAUUACUUCUUGACUUUUCAGUCUUCUUGCCUAACUCAAUCUCUUCCGGCUCAUCUGUACAUACUGGAAUUACAGUCUUCUCAAAGUAGAGUUCAAAUCAUACCAAUCCACUAUUAAGAACAAAUAUUUUUUUUUGAUGCUGACACUUCAAAACCUAUACUGAUCUUUCAAGAUUUUUUUCUAGUACAUACUUCUAUACCCCAAAUAAUCCAGGUACCUGCCAUUCCUCAUCCAUGGUUUGGUUCAUGGAUUUCUCUCCACUUGGAAUUCCACAUUGCCUAUCUUUUUCUUUCCUGACCUCACUGAGUAAAUAAAACUAGCCCACCUUUGAAAAUUUGUGUCAUCUCUUUGCAUGGUGUUUUGCUUAGGAUGACCCCAGAAUAAUUAAUAUGAUUUCCCUUUCCCUUUAAAAGUGUCCAAAUGUUAUUAAUAAAUGAUAUGAUCAUACUCUUAUUCAACUAUUAAAGUUUAUAAUUUUACGUGAACUUGUUUUUAUUAUUUCCUGUUAAUCUGAGUUUUCUGGGCAUUGUAUUACUAUUAUUAUUGGUUUUUCUUUUUAUUUUUUCCCCACCUGCUGCAACAUCUAAUGCAGUGCCUUGUUUAAAGUAGGAGCUCCAGAAAUAUGUAUUGAGUUAAAUUAGAGUAUAUUUUUUACUGUAAUUAGCAUUACAGAAACUUUAUUUUGCUUUGUAAUACAUUCUCUAACCUAUUUUCUGCAAGUUUUAUGAAUAAAGAUAUUUAAAACAUUG